rnacentral:rRNA from 1 species
AAAGAUUAAGCCAUGCAUGUCUAAGUACAUGUGUAUUUAACACGAAACCGCGUAUGGCUCAUUAUAACAGCUAAAAUUUACUUGAUUUUGACUUUUAUCCUACAUGGAUAACUGUGGUAAUUCUGGAGCUAAUACAUGCAUAAAAGAUAUUUCAUUUAUUGAAAUAUUGCGUAUAUUAGUAUUAAAACCAAGCAUUCUUCGGAAUGUUUUGUGUUGAAACUGAAUAUAUCAUGCUGAUCGUAUGGUCUUGUACCGACGACAUGUCAUUCAAGUGUCUGAUCUAUCAACUUUCUAUAUAAGUAUAUAGUACUUAUAUGGUUUUGACGGAUAACGGGGUAUUAGGGUACGACUCCGGAGAAAAUGCCUGAGAAACGGCGUUUACAUCCAAGGAAGGCAGCAGGCGCGAAAAUUACCCACUCUCAGUACGAGGAGGUAGUGACGAGAAAUGACAAGAUCUAUUCCUUCGGGGAUGGAUCAUUGGAAUGGUUUGAUUUUAAAAUCAUUAAAGAGUAUCAAUGAGAGGGCAAGUCUGGUGCCAGCAGCCGCGGUAAUUCCAGCUCUCAUACUGCAUUGAAUUGUUGUUGCGGUUAAAAAGCUCGUAGUUGGAUCUGUACAUGAUAGGUUAGUUUAUUCUUUACGGAAUAUAACUAAUACUAAAUGUUUUUUGUUAGAUUUUUUUAUGGUUCGUAAGGAUCAUAAAAUGUCUAACGAGUUUACUUUGAAUAAAUCAGAGUGCUCAAAACAGGCGUAAGCUUGUAUGGUUUUGCAUGGAAUAAUAGAACAUGACUAUGGUUCAUGUUUUAUUGGUUUUACUUACCAUAGUAAUGAUUAAAAGGAACAAACGGGGGCAUCCGUAUCGCAGGGCGAGAGGUGAAAUUCGUGGACCCUUGCGAGACGAACUACAGCGAAAGCAUUUGCCAAGAAUG